rnacentral:rRNA from 1 species
GAGUUUGAUUAUGGCUCAGAAUGAACGCUGGCGGCGUGCUUAACACAUGCAAGUCGAGCGCGAAAGUCGACUUCGGUCGACGAGUAGAGCGGCGAACGGGUGAGUAACACGUGGGCAAUCUACCUGAGAGUGGGGGAUAACCUGGGGAAACUCGGGCUAAUACCGCAUACGACUGUGGGACUGCGGUCCCAUAGGGAAAGCUGGCCUAUGCAUGCAAGCUGGCGCUCUCAGAGGAGCCCGCGCCCGAUUAGCUUGUUGGUGGAGGUAACGGCUCACCAAGGCGACGAUCGGUAGCCGGCCUGAGAGGGUGAUCGGCCACACUGGGACUGAGACACGGCCCAGACUCCUACGGAGGCAGCAGUGGGGGAAUAUUGGACAAUGGGCGCAAGCCUGAUCCAGCAACGCCGCGUGGAGAAGGAAGGCCCCUCGGGUCGUAAACUCCUGUCAGGUGGGACGAAAAGGCGUCGGGAAUAUACGGCGCUGCUGACGGACCACCAAAGGAGCCCCGCUAAUUCGUGCCAGCGCCGCGGUAAUACGGAGGGGCUACGGUUAUCCGGAAUCAUUGGCGUAAAGGCCCGAAGGCGGCUAAGA